UUUAUUUGUUCAAUACAAACAAAAUACUACAAUUAUUCAUUUAUCUGAUGUAAAUAAAUUAUUUGAAGUGCUAAUACCAUAUUUACUUGAAUCAAGAAAUCUUUCUUAUCAAUGUACUUAUAGAAUUAUUUACUCAAGUUAUUUGUUAAACUCACUAUUAUGUUGUGAUAUGCCAAUACAUAAUAGCUGAUAUUUGUUAUUAGUUUUAUUAAAUUUUAGUUAUGUUAGUUUAUAUUAGUUUUUGUAUUUUUUUUUUAUUUUUUAAAACUUUCAAGACUUUCACGUUUUAUAUUUUAACAUUUAAUUAUACAUAUAGAAUCAUCUAUAAGUUUGGAACAUUUUCGUUUUAUAAACACGUAUGAUAAUGAUUUACUCAUGUUUCAAAAAUUUUUCAAAAUUUGUGCAAAUUCAGAAGUUUAUAAAAAUUUAUUUUCUUUUUUCUCUUUUCUUCGUAAACUCCAAAAAUUUCAAAGUUAAAGACAUUUUACAUGAAAAUUGAGUUUAUACAUAAAAAAUUCGAUAUCACAUUGCUAAAAAUUAUUUUAAUCAAGCAAUUUUUUUUUCUCACAAGAGGAACCCUAGAAAUGUUCUUCGAAUUUUUGAUACCAAUUUUUUUAUGAUUCUUGAGGCCAAAAACUUUACUUAUUUUUUCACAAAAGCGUUUUAAAGCUUAGAAAGUCUACUUUAAAAUACUUUUAUAUUAAAUUUUAUUCGAUGAUAUUUCAAUUUCCAGCGCUUUAAAGUAAAACAAAAAUAUUGCAAAAAGUAUUAAUCUUCAAUUUCAUACAGUUUAGAAACAAAAUGUUCUAAAAACAUGUUCUUCCUUCUCAUAGCCUUCCCUCGCGAUACGUAAUAAAGUAUAUUCUCAGUGCGGGAGUAUCGAAAGUGUCGCGCGAUCAUAUUUGAUAAUUAGUGCGCGAGUGAUUGUGUUUUCAUGAGAAAAGACAAUAGACCAACAAUGGAGAAAUGCGAGAGGAGGAGGAGGCCUAGGAGGUAUCAAGCGACAGCGGAGCAACCAUCGGAUUAACACCAGCGUAGUGUGUACAACAACUCCGCUACUGCGCGUCGUGUCGUAUCACCGCAGCUUCAGCAGCAUCGUGACUGAGUAACUCCGCUCAUUGCGCAUCGAGUCGGUGAGUCAAAAACUAAUUUUUUUUAAUUAUAUUCUAAAAUAAGCUUUGCAAAUGUUCUGCGCAGGAUUUUAUUUAUCUUGUAUUUUAUGUACGAUUUUUAUUAAUGAAGUUAAUGUAUUUUACAAUCAAGACUUACUCCACUGCUGUUCGCUAAAAAAUUACAAGAGAAAAAAAUUUAUGCAAAGUUUAUUUUAAGAGCAAGUUUUAGAAUUGUUGUGGAUAUAAUUAGCGAUUUCGAGGCUAUAGCACGGUCCGCGAUAUUGUUUAACUACGUCAUAGUAUAGCUAUUCGCGAAACAUUAGUGAUUCAAAGUUUCAGCGAAUAGUCGCGUCGGGAAUGGUCGCUUCGACCAUGAAUGCACUCGGACAUCGUCAUCGAAAAGUCAUUCGAAUUUAUUCGCGUUAUUCAUGAAAUAUAAUCGGCGCUCGAAAACGUGACAUGUUCUCACGCGCAACGGAUGAAGAUGUGAAUCGCGGUAGAAAGACGAUUUUUUCCACGAAGUGUGGUAGAGUUCGUAGACCACGGUAAAAAGGGCGAUGGUCGCCGACGUCGUUCACGAAACAGGUUCACACUUAACCGGGUCGCCAUUUAGGCCGUCGGUCUGCCAAUUAGUCGCGAGCCUGGUCGGGGAAACACGAAGGGAAUAAACGAGAGGCACAAGCGGCAACUACGUGGCCAUUACGAUGAGUUAAUAAUAAUGAGUUUCAAUAAAGAAAUUGAAAAAAAUCACUUUGUAUGUCAUUCCGCAGAUUUACAAUAGAAUCUUUUUUAAAUCUUGAGAUUUUAUUAAAAGUUAGACACAAUAAUGUAAAUAAAUACGGCAAUCAUGAAUUUUUCAUAGAUACAUGUACAAAACGUGUAACUUCUAUACUACAUGUAAGGAAAAUUAAAUUUACAAUUAGCAUUUGCAACGAAACAUUUAAUUUAGCUUCUUUGCAUGAUCGCUGAUAGAGUCAAGAUUUUGACUUUUAAUUCUUUUGCUAUUCAAGGAGAGUGCGUGUUUUCUUAAUUGAUAUCGAUAUCAAUAUAGUUUAGUUAAUAUUCGCGUAUCAUUUUAACAAACGAAAGAGAGAGAAUGCAAUGUGACCGAUGAAAGGUCGCAAUCAGACAUUCCAGUCGACCAGAGGCAUUUCCGUUUCCCGUUUCACACGACCCGGACAGAAUGUCACCAAUGAACUCGUCUGGCAGAAGGUGAGAAUCCGCCUCGGUGACGUUCUCCGGAUUCCAUCUCGCUCGCGAUUGGCACCUCCUGCCACGCUCGUUACAUUACUUUGUCAGCGUGCAAGAAUAAAGACGCUGUCGCAAUAAGAUUUUUAAUAUAUUCGCUUGCCGACAACGAUUAUCGCCGCACGCGUGCGUUUUCUCUUCCUCAGGCCCGUAUCUGCCUGUCGAGGGCUAUAUCGUGCGUCGCAUGACCGUUUUCGCGGUGCCUGCGACACAGUUAAUUAGUCCCAGUCCCGCGAGGUACGUCGCCCGUUUGCAGAUAUUUAUGUCGGGCCCGCGUCGACUUAAUGCCCUUUAAUAUACGCGCCGAGCCUUCGUCGUCGUCGUCAUCGUCGUCGUCGCGCGCGCGCGCGCGCGAAAUUAGA